UACGGAGGGAGCUAGCGUUAUUCGGAAUUACUGGGCGUAAAGCGCACGUAGGCGGCUUUGUAAGUCUGAGGUGAAAGCCUGGAGCUCAACUCCAGAACUGCCUUUGAGACUGCAUCGCUUGAAUCCAGGAGAGGUGAGUGGAAUUCCGAGUGUAGAGGUGAAAUUCGUAGAUAUUCGGAAGAACACCAGUGGCGAAGGCGACUAACUGGACAUGUAUUGACGCUGAGGUGCGAAAGCGUGGGGAGCAAACAGG
rnacentral:rRNA from 1 species